rnacentral:rRNA from 1 species
AUUGAACGCUGGCGGCAUGCCUUACACAUGCAAGUCGAACGGCAGCACGGGAGCAAUCCUGGUGGCGAGUGGCGAACGGGUGAGUAAAGUAUCGGAACGUGCCCAGUCGUGGGGGAUAACGUAGCGAAAGUUACGCUAAUACCGCAUACGAUCUAUGGAUGAAAGCGGGGGAUCGCAGGACCUCGCGCGAUUGGAGCGGCCGACAUCAGAUUGGGUAGUUGGUGGGGUAAAGGCUCACCAAGCCUACGAUCUGUAGCUGGUCUGAGAGGACGAGCAGCAAAACGGGGACGGAGAAACGGCCCAGACUUCUACGGGAGGCAGCAGUGGGGAAUUUUGGACAAUGGGCGAAAGCCUGAUCCAGCCAUGCCGCGUGCAGGAUGAAGGCCUUCGGGUUGUAAACUGCUUUUGUACGGAACGAAAAGGUUUGGCCUAAUAAGCUGAGCUCAUGACGGUACCGUAAGAAUAAGCACCGGCUAACUACGUGCCAGCCGCCGCCGUAA